CGCACCAUUCACUUGUGCUGCGCAGCUCUCGCGCGAUCGAGUGGACCAAUCGCGUGCCAAGAAGCGCUCCAUACAACUCACCUGUGCUCUUCUACGUUCAAACGGGACAAAGACAGAGCCAGGAGUGUUUACCGCUACUAUGCGCCGUGGCGAGUAGCGACCGCGCGCUCGGAUUACCGAAGGAGAUUGGCCAGGUUGUGCACAAUCACCCCAAUUGAGAGCUGAAAGCCCAGAGAGCUUUCUCUACAUCCACUCUACAACAACCUGCUUCUACUGUCUGGUAGGGGCUGUUUCAGCCAGUCCACUCCUCACUCCUCACACUAACUCAGUUUAUGUGCUUAUGGACUAUACCUUUCUCAUGGACAUUCUGGUUAUAUAAAUGGACAAUAAGCCCACACUGCUGAGGAAAAUACUGCAAUUGUGUGAAGUGUGAAAUGUCACCUGCAAAGUGACUAUUACCCCUUUUUGUUUGGCAGUUUUGUACUCCAGGACUCUAUAUUUACUUCUGCCAUGUGUAUUGUUGUAUGGUGGCAAUUGUACCAUAUUGUAUCUAAACAAGUGCACAACAUAAACAACAUAUUUAAAAGAAGUGCACUUGAAUUAACUUAAUACUUACUUACCUAAUUCUUAAGCUUGAUCAUCAUAAUCUGCAGAUGUAAAUAUUAUAAACAUUGGGUAUAUGUUGGUUGUUUUCACCUUUUUUCAUCAAUAUAUGGCACCAGCCACCCAAACUUGAAUACCUAGUCUCUGCUGUAUUAUUUUUACUGGUCUCCCACCUCCCUGAGAGUCGUGCCUUUAUCUUCUGAUCCUAACAUCCCCCUUUAUCAAUGACAUACACCACAGAUAUGCUACAAAAAUGUUUUCAUAACUUAAUGCGAUUUAUAAAGUUGCAGAAACAGAUUUUAAGUAAACUCAUAGGUCUUAUGGUCAAGCU